rnacentral:rRNA from 1 species
AUUGAACGCUGGCGGCAUGCCUUACACAUGCAAGUCGAACGGUAACAGGUCUUCGGAUGCUGACGAGUGGCGAACGGGUGAGUAAUACAUCGGAACGUGCCCGAGAGUGGGGGAUAACGAAGCGAAAGCUUUGCUAAUACCGCAUACGAUCUCAGGAUGAAAGCAGGGGACCGCAAGGCCUUGCGCUCACGGAGCGGCCGAUGGCAGAUUAGGUAGUUGGUGGGAUAAAAGCUUACCAAGCCGACGAUCUGUAGCUGAUCUGAGAGGACGACCAGCCACUCUGGGACUGAGACACGGCCCAGACUCGUACGGGAGGCAGCAGUGGGAAAUUUUGGACAAUGGGCGCAAGCCUGAUCCAGCCAUGCCGCGUGCAGGAUGAAGGCCUUCGGGUUGUAAACUGCUUUUGUACGGAACGAAAAGACUCCUUCUAAUAAAGGGGGUCCAUGACGGUACCGUAAGAAUAAGCACCGGCUAACUACGUGCCAGCCGCCGCCGUAAGAC